AAACACUAGCUUCAACACUAA
rnacentral:misc_RNA from 1 species